CAACAAAUUUGACCUGAAGUCGUUGUGGAGCUCUGACGUGGUGAUGGGCCGAUGUACUAGCUGCAUGAGCAAGUUAGGCAGCAUGUCUCGCUCCUCCACACUUACCAACACAACAGGCAACAGAUUCCCAGUCAGCUGGACUAUGGACCGUCCAAAAAGCUGUGGAUCCCAGAAGGAUGAGUCCCAGUGUGACAUGUAGCAGUGUGUCCCUCUCGUCUCAUAGCUCACAGGGCAGUUGCUGCGAUCUUCACCACAGACUUUCCACCAUCGA